rnacentral:misc_RNA from 1 species
AGAGCCCCAAAUCUUGAGGUUCUAAAUCUCGAAAGUUGUAUAAGUUUGUUUAAGGUUCCGCAAUCUAUUCAAUAUCUGAGGAAGCUUACUUUUUUUAAUUUAAAUGACUGCAAAGAACUCCGUAGUCUUCCAAGCAUUCCUUCCACAAAUCUUGAAGUUUUGUGUCUCAGGAAUUGCUCAAAAAUCAGAGACUUUCCAGAGAUAUCACGGAAUUUAAAACGGCUAGUAUUAAGUGGG